AACAUCCUACGGGGGGCAGCAGUGAGGAAUAUUGGUCAAUGGGCGCGAGCCUGAACUAGCUACGUCGCGUGAGGGAAGACGGUCCUAUGGAUUGUAAACCUCUUUUGUCGGGGAGCAAAAGACGCCACGCGUGGCGUUCCGAGAGUACCCGAAGAAAAAGCAUCGGCUAACUCCGUGCCAGCAGCCGCGGUAAUACGGAGGAUGCGAGCGUUAUCCGGAUUUAUUGGGUUUAAAGGGUGCGCAGGCGGAAGAUCAAGUCAGCGGUAAAAUUGAGAGGCCCCACCUCUUCGAGCCGUUGAAACUGG
rnacentral:rRNA from 1 species